UGGAAUUCGUGGCAGUUUAAU
rnacentral:piRNA from 1 species